rnacentral:rRNA from 1 species
CAGCCAAGUCGUGAGGCGGAGCUAAUCCCUUAAAAGCCAUUCUCAGUUCGGAUUGUAGGCUGAAACUCGCCUACAUAAAGCUGGAGUUACUAGUAAUCGCAGAUCAGAAUGCUGCGGUGAAUGCGUUCCCGGGUCUUGUACACACCGCCCGUCACACCACGGAAGUUGGGGGCGCCCGAAGCCACUUAUCUAACCCUUUUGGGAAGCGAGUGUCGAAGGUGAAAUCAAUAACUGGGGUGAAGUCGUAACAAGGUAUC